rnacentral:rRNA from 1 species
CCUACGGGAGGCAGCAGUGGGGAAUAUUGCACAAUGGGGGGAACCCUGAUGCAGCGACGCCGCGUGAGUGAAGAAGUAUUUCGGUAUGUAAAGCUCUAUCAGCAGGGAAGAAAAUGACGGUACCUGACUAAGAAGCCCCGGCUAACUACGUGCCAGCAGCCGCGGUAAUACGUAGGGGGCAAGCGUUAUCCGGAUUUACUGGGUGAAAAGGGAGCGUAGACGGCAGAGCAAGUCUGAAGUGAAGGCCCGCGGCCCAACUGCGGGACUGCUUUGGAAACUGCCCGGCUGGGGGGCUGAAAGGGUAGCCGGAAUUCCUGGGGUAGCGGGAAAAGGGGUGAAAAUAAGGGGGAACCCCGGUGGGAAGGGCGGCUAACGGACAGUAACUGACGUUGAGGCUCGAAAGCGUGGGGAGCAAACAGGAUUAGAUACCCGUGUAGUC